GCCAAGACCAAAGAGCUGUCAAAGGAAAACAAUUCCUUCAGAAUUUUACAUCAAUCUGGACGAAGAACAAAUACCAAGACCAGUGUGUUCACAGCUCUCCCUGCGCUGUGAGUCUUGUGAGCCAGGCUACCAGAGAGCCUGGAGCUAGAGGAUAAGUGCACUAACUCCUGUGCCAUAAAGGCUCGGACCUCUUGGCACCAUUGUCCUAUGGUUUGUGUAGAGCAGCCCUGAGAUGAACUGGGACAACCAGCUGAGCUCCAUCUUCUCAGCAGCUGAUGGCAGCGUGGCCAAGAUGAGGCCCUCCACCGCUGUUCUCCCCCUCCGUGAUGCAGUGGGCAGACCUGGCAGCCGUCCAAUCACAACUGCAGGUCCAGGCCCUAGAGUCUCCGACUCAGUCUUCAUGACAUGGACAGAGGGAGACACUCAGCAGUGCCACAUACAGGCACUACAAGAUGAGAUUCGCUGGCUGUGAGAGCAGGCGAUGGAGAAAGAGCAGGAACGAGAGCGGGAUGGAGAGAGAAGGUCAGGGACAGUGAGUCUGGGAGUGGAGAGGAGGAGAGAGCAAUGGAGGAGAGAGGAGGGCCGUGAGCUCAGCACUUUAAGAAGGCACAUCACCAGAGCCCACUAG
rnacentral:lncRNA from 1 species